rnacentral:piRNA from 1 species
UUAGCUGCUUUUAGCUUCUCAGAGGGU